rnacentral:rRNA from 1 species
UACGUAGGGGGCAAGCGUUGUCCGGAUUUAUUGGGCGUAAAGAGCGUGUAGGCGGCCUGAAAGGUCAGCUGUGAAAACUCGAGGCUCAACCCUCGAGACGUCGGUUGAAACCAUCUGGCUAGAGUCCGGAAGAGGAGAGUGGAAUUCCCGGGUGUAGCGGCGAAAUGCGCAGAUAUCGGGAAGAACACCCGUGGCGAAGGCGGCUCUCUGGGGACGGUACUGACGCUGAGACGCGAAAGCGUGGGGAGCGAACAGG